UCCAGUUUCGCCAACCCCGGUGCUAUUUAAAGGUGUCAGGUGGCUCGGCAGUGGCUCCUGGCCCCGGGUCCUGGCGGCCGCAGUUGGAAGAGCCGAGGCGAGGGCGCCGAUCCCGGACUGCGAGGGAGGCGGAGAGACGGGGCAAUUGACUAUUGCUAACAAGUUAGCCUUGAUCGGGGUGUAAUCAAUUAUCUGCAGCGGCACUUCUUUCUCUUUCUCUCUCCUUUCUCCCUUUCUCCUCUCUUCUUUCUCUCUGUUCUCUCCUCCUGUUCUCGCUCUCCCUCCCUCCCUCUCUCUUCUCUCUUCUCUGCUCCCCCUUCUCUCUCCUUCUCUCCCUCUCCCUCGCCCUCUCUUUCACUCUCUGUCUGUCCAAUGCAGGCGGCUGUAAGUUGGGAAGCUCAUUAAUUAGCGGGCCGGGGGUAGGAGGAGCCGGCUGGAAUUAGCCUGCCUAAUGCGCCUGUCAGUCCGGGCGCUGCGCCGCGCUCGGCCCGAGCUGUUUGUAAAUUACAUUAGCUGCUCCUUUAUUGCACCCGAACCUCGGGCGACUGAAAAGCCACCGCCCCCACCCCAAACUGCGAGCCGCGCUCCUGGCGCACCCGCCUCCCGCCGGCCUAGCUGCAAUGACCGCACCGGCCCGAAGGUCUCGGUCUCUCCGACCCGGGAUGUGGAGCCCGAAAGAGUGGUGGGAACCCCAGCCCGGGAGGGACGCGGCCGCCGCUCGGGCCAGCCGAUGGGGUGCCAGGCAUUAGAAACCUUCCCUCCAAUCCUCACCAUGUCUCCAUUUUGCCAAAGAAGAAACUGAGGUUAAGGUCGCGAUGCUCUGGCCAGCAUCACAGGUAAACGAUUUUGGCAGUGCCCGGAGAAGGAUAGAAGUAAGACCUAAAGAGGAACUUUCCGCAUGUUAUGGGAGAGCCCCUGGGGCGAGGAGGCCAGGGCAGCCUUCCCCAGGCCAAGGGAGCAGCCAUCGCUCUUGGAUCUGUUUUUCCUCAAGCGUCUGUCCUGUGGGGCCUAGUCCCCAAGCGGCAGUCCUGGACCUAACGGGAGAAGGGGCUGGGGGAAGAGGGCGCACCCCCAGCCCGGGACCCACAGCAGCCCUAGCCAGUCCCCCACUCUCUCCCUCUCUAGGGGCCUCUCUCUGAGAUCGGGUCCUCCUCCUGCAGGGCAGCAGAGUGGAAGCCAGGGCCUGGGACCCUCUGGCUGGGCAAGGAGGGACUGCAGUCCGGCUCCCGGCGACCCCGUCCCCAGUGCCAGCGGUGGGGUCGCCCGUGGCGGCCCGGACAGGCCACGGGUCCCUCUCCACAAGUCCCAUUACGUUGUAUUUAUGUUUCAUUUUAUAGUUUUUUUUCCUCCUCCCUUAUUAUUGUCUCACUCUGGGGGAGGCAAAGGAUAUAAUAUAUUCAUCUUUAUUAUACCAAAUCUGUGUGAAGCAUUUAAUAAAACGCUGUUUCCACACAGCCAGGGAUAUUAGUGUGAGCUAUUCUUAAGUUAAUGCUCCUGGACUGAGGGCGCCGCUGCCACAGCGCCUGCUGCCGGCGGGUCGCGGGAAGCGCAGGCCCUGGCCGCCGCGCUCCCCGCGCGGAUCCAACGCCCUGGGUGCCCUUCUCGCCUGCGCCUUGAAGCCCCCACGCCCAUCCUAGCGCGUCUCUCUGUGACCUCUCGGCCGCCAGCCUGGGAGGAGGGGUUUGGAAGAGCCGAAUUCAAGCACCCUUCCUCUCCCCUGCCACACCUUGCAUUUCGAAUCCGCUGUGGGCCUUGGCUUGCAUCUAUGAAAAUGGGAAGAAUUCCAUCACUGCCUCCCUCUCAGGGAUCUUGAGAGGCCGAAGAUGCCUUGAAGGUGGACAGGAUUUUUUAAACAGGAAAGAAAAAAUCGAGAAUUUGUAAGGUCAGAAUCAAUGAGGGCCAGAGAGAAAUAGAGAGGGUGCAGGAGUGGUUUCAGGCAACACAGAGCGAGCUGGACCCCAGGCGAGCAGACAGGGUGCAACUCCAGUUUGGGCAGAACCCAGGAGGUUUCGGCAUGCCUGGGCCUCAC
rnacentral:lncRNA from 1 species